CUUAUACACACUCACCGGCUCUAACAGACACACACAAACAGUCUCUUACACACACUGCUUAUACACACUCACUAGCUGUAACACACACACAGUUUCUCACACACACACACUGCUUUACACUCACACAGUCUCUUACACACACACAGUUUAUAGACACACACACUAACUCUUACACACACACACACACACACUGGCUAUAACACGCACACACACACUAGCUCUUACAUACACACACUGGCUCUAACACACACACAUUAACACACACACACACUAACUCUUACAUUCACACACUGGCUCUAACACACACACAUUAACACACACACUAACUCUUACAUACACACACUGGC